rnacentral:rRNA from 1 species
CCCGUAGGUGAACCUGCGGAAGGAUCAUUUACAGUAAGUUCCAUGCCCGAAAAGGGGUAGAACCUCCCACCCUUGUGUAUUAUUACUUUGUUGCUUUGGCGAAGCUGCCUUCGGGCCUUGUAUGCUCGCCAGAGAAUACCAAAACUCUUUUUAUUAAUGUCGUCUGAGUACUAUAUAAUAGUUAAAACUUUCAACAACGGAUCUCUUGGUUCUGGCAUCGAUGAAGAACGCAGCGAAAUGCGAUAAGUAAUGUGAAUUGCAGAAUUCAGUGAAUCAUCGAAUCUUUGAACGCACAUUGCGCCCCUUGGUAUUCCGGGGGGCAUGCCUGUUCGAGCGUCAUUUCAACCCUCAAGCUUAGCUUGGUAUUGAGUCUAUGUCAGUAAUGGCAGGCUCUAAAAUCAGUGGCGGCGCCGCUGGGUCCUGAACGUAGUAAUAUCUCUCGUUACAGGUUCUCGGUGUGCUUCUGCCAAAACCCAAAUUUUUCUAUGGUUGACCUCGGAUCAGGUAGGGAUACCCGCUGAACUUAAGCAUAUAAAA